AUGAACGCUGGCGGCGUGCCUCAUCCAUGCAGGUCGAGCGAACAGACGAGGAGCUUGCUCCUCUGACGUUAGCGGCGGACGGGUGAGUAACACGUGGAUAACCUACCUAUAAGACUGGGAUAACUUCGGGAAACCGGAGCUAAUACCGGAUAAUAUAUUGAACCGCAUGGCUCAAUAGUGAAAGACGGUUUUGCUGUCACUUAUAGAUGGAUCCGCGCCGCAUUAGCUAGUUGGUAAGGUAACGGCUUACCAAGGCAACGAUGCGUAGCCGACCUGAGAGGGUGAUCGGCCACACUGGAACUGAGACACGGUCCAGACUCCUACGGGAGGCAGCAGUAGGGAAUCUUCCGCAAUGGGCGAAAGCCUGACGGAGCAACGCCGCGUGAGAGAUGAAGGUCUUCGGAUCGUAAAACUCUGUUAUUAGGGAAGAACAAAUGUGUAAGUAACUAUGCACGUCUUGACGGUACCUAAUCAGAAAGCCACGGCUAACUACGUG
rnacentral:rRNA from 1 species